UUAAGCCAUGCGAGUCCAGGGGGGCUUUGCCCACCGGCGGACGGCUCAGUAACACGUGGACAACCUGUCCUCGGGAGGGGGAUAACCCUGGGAAACUGGGACUAAACCCCCAUAGGCCAUGGAGGCUGGAAGGCGCCAUGGCUGAAAUUCCGCAAGGAGCCCGAGGAUGGGUCUGCGGCCUAUCAGGUCGUAGUGGGGGUAACGGCCCCACUAGCCUACGACGGGUACGGGCCCUGAGAGGGGGUGCCCGGAGAUGGACUCUGAGACACGAGUCCAGGCCCUACGGGGCGCAGCAGGCGCGAAAACUCCGCAAUGCUCGAAAGAGCGACGGGGGAACUCCGAGUGCCUACGCUUUGCGUAGGCUUUUCCUGAGCCUAAAAAGCUCAGGGAAUAAGGGCUGGGUAAGACGGGUGCCAUCUGUGAUGGUAGUCAUAGAUUUGACUUGCCGUCGCAAGGCAUAAGCCGCCGCGGUAAUACCCGCAGCUCGAGUGGUGGCCGCUAUUAUUGGGCCUAAAGCGUCCGUAGCCGGUCUGAUAAAUGCCUGGGUAAAUCGUAGAGCUCAACUCUACGGCUCCCAGGUAGACUGUCAGACUCGGGACCGGAGGAGGGAGAGGGUACUCCAGGGGUAGGGGUGAAAUCAGCAGAGCAUCACUCUGAUGAUGUGAAUUGCUCUGCAAGUCACAAUCCUGUAAUCCCUGGGGGACCACCGGUGGCGAAGGCGCUCUCCUAGGACGGGUCCGACGGUGAGGGACGAAAGCCAGGGGAGCAAACCGGAUUAGAUACCCGGGUAGUCCUGGCCGUAAACGAUGUGGACUUGGUAUUG
rnacentral:rRNA from 1 species